GUGAGGAAUAUUGCGCAAUGGAGGCAACUCUGACGCAGCCAUGCCGCGUGCAGGAAGAAGGCGCUACGCGUUGUAAACUGCUUUUAACCGGGAAGAAACCCCAGGACGUGUCCUGGGUUGACGGUACCGGAGGAUUAAGCACCGGCUAACUUCGUGCCAGCAGCCGCGGUAAUACGAAGGGUGCAAGCGUUAUCCGGAUUCAUUGGGUUUAAAGGGUGCGUAGGCGGAGCGUUAAGUCAGUGGUGAAAUCCUGCAGCUUAACUGUAGACUUGCCAUUGAUACUGGCGCUCUUGAGUGCGCUUGAAGUGGGCGGAAUGUGCCGUGUAGCGGUGAAAUGCUUAGAUAUGGCACAGAACACCAAUUGCGAAGGCAGCUCACUAAGGCGAUACUGACGCUGAGGCACGAAAGCGUGGGGAUCGAACAGGAUUAGAAACCCUUGUAGUCC
rnacentral:rRNA from 1 species